ACCAAUAUGUAAAUGACUAACGGUAGAACUGAUGUGCUGUAACAGGAACCGACAAAAUUCCUUCUCUUAUUUUUUGUUACAGCAUAUUUUCACUCACCAAUCGUACGACUAGCUUAGUGGCAGACUGUAAGCACCUUUGCAAAUUUACUAUACACAAUACGUACAUACACAUAUAGUAUAUAUUGCCGAUAAAGCUAAACAAACGCUAAAAUAAUAAAAAUGUGAAAGCAAAAAACCGCUAAAUGAACGGUAACUACCCUGUAAGAAAAUUAUUUAUUUUAAAAUCCUAUUGGAGAAUUCGUUUGGUAGAACCAGAAUCAUGAAUUAAUUAACAUUUUCUGGUAGAACCCUGUACCCACAUAAUUAUCGACAACUUUUCAAGACAAUAUUCGGACAGCAGAUACAUACGAUUCGGCGCUAAACAUUGGCAGAAAUACACACCCGCAUAUGUACAUACAUUUGCUUGUUUAUCUAUUUGUAGUAAGUACAAUAUAUAUGUAUGUAUGUAUGUAUCUAAUUUCGGUCACCACUCGCUAGCGCUGUGUGUAUUAAUAAUUUGGAUUCGUAUUAAUUACCAAACCACUCCGCUUUUCCCAUUGGCAUUUCACAUAACAAUGGCAACAACAACAACAACAGCCGACGCCAAAAUGACAGCACCGCAUGUUCGGGCGCACAUGGUUUGAAGGUGAUUACCUUUUACAAAAACAAAAAUAAUACACAAGUUUCCCAUUCAUACCGAAUAUAAAGCACAAUAACAACAAAAAUGUAGGUACAAGAGAGUGAGCACACGAGUAAACUAUGCGAAUGAGUGUGCGAGCAAAUGAGUAAGCGAACGAUUUCCAAUAUGAAUAGCCGAAAUGACAACACCAACACGACGCCGGCGACGUCAUCGCAGCUGUGGAGCCACAGCGUAAGCAGCUGAGUACUCGCGCACGCAGUACCUAUAUAAAAGCAACAACAAGAACAAAUAUAUGUACGUAACACGACGUAAUUUUAUACACGAAAAAGAGACCAAAGAAGAAGAAGCAGCAGCAACAGCAGUAGACAUUUUGUUGAGUAGAGUAAACGCGCAUUAAUUGUAGAAAAAGAAAAAAUAGCAGCCCGCUGUGACGGGGCCUCUGGCACGAGACUAGUUGGAAACGGCAAUACUCGUAGCGACGACACUGCUGCAUGGCAGUCGACUAUGGCCGCAGAUAGACACACAUCCAAUAUAUAAAUAUGUACAUAUUAAUGUAUGUAUGUAAGUAUGUAGAGGCAGCGCACAAACAGUACUGUGAGGCGCAACGUGGAGCCAACACCAGGCGAUACCAAUACGCUGCAAUGACUUGUUGUUGCUUUUGUUUUUGUAGUUUUCUGGCUGUUAUUGGCACAACAGCUUUUUGCGAAACCUCACCAAAAGCAGGCAGACGAGCUGGCGAGUGGGACCCACAAGAAAUAGAUACAGCGCAACGGCGACGUCGUUGCGUUUUUAUUGAGUGUGUGCAGCAGGCUUUGAGAGUGUUUGCACAAUUCGUUGCAUUAGAAUGCGCAAACUACACACAUAUAUAUAUAUAUAUAUAUGUACAUAUAUACACAGACGUUUGGGACAGCGAGUGAGAGCGCAAUUGAAAGCUAUUGCUGGCGUUUUGGCGCUUGGUAGUAUUGCAUGGCUGAGAGGGGGAGUGUGCAUGGGAUUUUGGAGUGCUGACGACAGAGGCUGUCUGGCAAUGAAUUGAGAGCAUGAGCGAAUGCACACUUGCUUAAAUAGUAUGUAUACAUAUUGUUUGUAUGUAUAAGUAUAAGUAAUCUUUGGUUAUUUUAUUUGCAUGUUCUCUGUCAUAUUUAUUUGCUAAAAUGUUUUGUAAUCGAAUUUCGGUAUGCACCGGCUGUUGGCACUAAAAGCAAGCGCCUCCACUUUCGGUAGCCUUUGCCGUCCCGUGCCCACUACCACUCCCACUUAUAAUUGUUACGAGCCGAGUAGACAUUUACAUUUUGUUGUAUGUUAGUCUGGCGCUUAGAAUAUUUGAGAAAAUGCGAGUUUAUGGUAGCUUUCAUAACUAUGACUGAGCUGACGAAUGACCCUCUCAACCAGGGGUGACCAAAAAAUGAAACUAUAGAGCCGCACGUCAUGCCUAUACAACGACGCCAGAGAAGACGACGCUGAACACACAUUCUUUAAAUGUCUGCGAUGGUAACGGUAACGGACCGCCGUAGAAGACCUGGUUGGCUCAAUAAACGCGGAUAAUAUAAUUAGCGCAAUAUCCGGGAGAGCGAAGUAAAGUGGAAAAUUAUUCAGAAAUACACAACAAUUGUGCUAUGCAGCAAAAAGCGGUAACUGGGCACAGGUGCGCAGAUGUAAAUCUCUCACAGAAAGAUAUGGAACGGCACACUGAAGUAUUGUAAACGUGGUUCCAGGGUGGGCGAUAGCUCCAUAGUGACCUGCAAGUGACACAUAACGUUGCUGUGACAACCGCUUUGGUGAUGCAGAAGGCAUUUUCCGUCUUGUCACUCGCAAAAAAAAA